AGUCAGAGGAAGCUCAAGGAGAGGCGAUGUGCCCUUCUCCCCAAUUUCCUCCAACAGGUGACCUCUCACCUGGCCGUGGAGUCAAAGGCGGGAAAGUGGCUCUGGCACAAGUGUGUGUACAGGGCCAUGCCAUUCUGUCCCCCGCGUGGAGUCCUGUCACCACCACCCCAACCGCGAUGCAGAGCCGGUCCACAAAGCUCCCCCACUACAAAAAUUCCCCUGGUGAGCCCCAGUGGCAUGGACUUCCUGCUGCUCCAGAGAGGAACAAAUGCACUUGCAGGCAAUCCCAACAGCAUCACUUCUGGAGAAUUAGACAAGAGGAUUCUCCCUUUGGGACAAAGACUUUGCUCCUCUCUUCAGAAAAUCACUCCAGGCUUGGUAUCCUAACGUGUUUCAUGGGAAGAUUUUACACAUUUGCCUAUGGCAGCAGACCUGUUAUACAACAACUUGGGAUGAAGACAGCGUUGCCCUGUCUUGGAGAUCAGUUCUGUGUACUUAGCAACCUAAACUGUCCAGCUUUUCCAUGGCUUCACUUACCUAGACAGGAUUGGGCCUCCCUGGUGGCGCAGCGGUUGAGCUCUGGGUUGCAAAGCUGCCCACAGCCUCUGUAGCACCGGUUUGAUCCCCAGCCACCGGGCGAGGAGGGUCCCACAUGGCGCGUAGACCUCUCCUGUUGCCCGCUGCUCCCCUCAGCAGUGUAUUUCGUCAGUCUACCUGUUCUGCUCUCAGCUCUGGCUCUGGUGAAUUCUCUCACCCUCCUGUGCUUCUAACUGU